CCGUGUGUGUGACCCGUGUAGAUAAAGGGAAAUUGCGCUCUGUCUGCCUGCCUGUCUGUGUGUGUGUGAGAAGUAGAAAGGAUAAAAAGGAACCGAAACUAGGUACAGUUGUGUUGCAGUUGUACCGAACGAAAGUGCAAUUACGUCGUUAUGCAAAUGUGCACACACACACAACACUUCGACACAAAUACGCACACAAUGAUGAAAACAAAUCUGUACAGCGGGGUGAGCAAGCCAGUUUUUUUUGUUCUCCUGUUUGAUUUCUUCGCCAAUCAACGUGACAGAAGAUUGCAGAUAUCCUUGCAGCGUGUGUGAGAGUGGUCGAGGAGAAGCAGCAGCGAAGGGAGGGGAGGGGGUGUCGGCGAACUGUCAAAAUCGAUACAAAAAAAUAUCGAUCAAAAUCAAAAACACGCGCAGCAUCCGAAAAAGUUGCGAAAAGCCGUAUUACGCCAACGAUACCGUUCGUUUGUGCUUGCGUGUGUGUGUGUGUGGUGUGUGUGUAUGCGGUAUUUUUUUGUUCAGUUCCUUUCUCCAUAAUCGGUGCAAUUCUGAUUUCGAAUUCGAUUAUUCUCUUCGGUGCGCCGCGCAAAGUGCGUAACGAACGCGGUGGAGAUUUAAAUCCUGGGGGCUGCCGGGAAAAAGCGGCCGUAAAUAGAGAGGCAAAAAAUUGCUCCUCUUUGGGUAGUGGGCAUUAAGAGCCGGACACGUGCGCUGGCAAUCGGCAAGCGGUAGUCCAGUGCCGUGAGAGUGCCGAGUGUAUGUAAGCGCGUGCGCCGUGCCUGCUGUUGAUCGUGAAAUUUAGCCUUUUCCCGCUCGUGCACUGCUGUGAAGCAAAGGUCGAAAAGGGAGGGUGGCUUCUGGGGGGCUAGUGAGCUAAAGGCUAAGGGCAGUGGAAGCAAAACGGGCAGGAAGAUUUGCAAGCGCUUGCAAUGUUGCCACGGCCUGAAGCGCUCAAGUGUUCCGGAGCCGCAUGGAUCGAUCAAGCCACCGCUGGCCUGCUGCUGCACCGUCACCACGGCGAGUCUUGGUGAGCGGGCGUGACGACGCCAGUCCCUUAGAGCGUGCUAAAACUCCGACCGUCGUGUCCUGUGUGUAUAGUGGAUGAAAAUUAAGCAAAAAGAAGAAGAAGAAAAAGAAAAUAAGCCGCAAUAAUAUUUCCUUUUCUUUCGGUGGGAGUUUGUUUCUGCGUGGCAAAAUUAAAAAAAUAAGAAAUCGAGUGUUGUGUGCGAAGCGCGCAGUGUCGAUUGCGUGUGCAUUAUUGGUGCAAUUUGUGGGCAAGAAAUUGUGUGUGCGUGUGUUUGGUUGAAAUUGUUCGAGUUAGUGUUUGCGUGUGUGUGUGUGUAUUGGGCAAGUGGCAAAAAGUGUGUUUGUGAUAAAUACGAAUAGGAGCAACAGCAUCAGCAGCAGCAGCAAGAUGUCAGCCGAAUCGAUACAAUCAUCAGCGGCCCAUGGGCGGCAGGGGCGUCGGUCGGUUCCAGUUGCCCGCGGAGGCCCGCUGCUGGUCGGCUACCUCCUGGCGACGGUGUUCGUCGUCGGUACCCUAUGUGCCUGGCAGGAGAACGUUCGACCGAAGCUCUACGUCACGCUAGCCGACAAGGAGUACCUCCGGUUCCAGGGGAACGAAUCGACGAACGACUUCUUCAAGCUGGUGCUGCGCGACCCGAACAGCAACAAUCUGCUCGUCGGUGCACGCAACAUCGUCUACAAUCUCAGCAUCUACGACCUGGCGGAAACGACGCGUCUUUCCUGGUACUCCUCGGACGACGACAUCAAGAUGUGUAUCGUGAAGGGCAAGGAUGAGGAUCUGUGCCAAAAUUAUAUCCGGGUGUUGGCCAUUCCGGCGCAAGGAUCGCUACUCAGCUGUGGGACGAACGCAUUCCGGCCGCUCUGCCGGACGUACUCCAUCAACGGCAACAACUACACGGUGGAGACGGAAAAGCCCGGACAGGCGAUGUGUCCGUACGAUCCCACCCACAACUCGACGGCUGUGUUUGUAGAUAACGAGUUGUACUCGGGCACGGUUGCCGAUUUCAGUGGGCUCGACCCGAUCAUCUAUCGCGAACAUCUGCAAACGGAACAGUACGACAGUCUCAGCUUGAAUGCGCCCAACUUUGUCGGAUCCUUCACGCAGGGUGACUUUGUGUACUUCUUCUUCCGCGAGACGGCCGUCGAAUUCAUCAACUGUGGCAAGGCCAUCUUCAGCCGUGUGGCUCGUGUGUGCAAGUGGGACAAGGGUGGCCCGAAUCGGUUGAAGAACCGCUGGACGUCCUACCUAAAGUCGCGGCUCAACUGCUCCAUGCCGGGCGAUUUUCCUUUCUACUUUGAUGAAAUACAAUCUACCAGCAACCUCGUCGAAGGCAGAUAUGGGCAUGCCAACUCUAAGCUGAUCUACGGCGUUUUCUCAACGGCACCGAACGCUAUUGCUGGCUCAGCAAUAUGCGCAUUUUCGCUACAGGAAAUUUCCGACACGUUCGAGGGCAACUUCAAGGAGCAGAGUGGACUGAACUCGAACUGGCUGCCCGUAAACCCGCUAAAUGUUCCCGAUCCGCGGCCCGGCUCCUGCCACAACGAUUCGCGCACACUGCCCGAUCUGACGCUCAACUUCAAAAAGACCCAUUCGCUGAUGGACGAAACCGUGCCCGCAUUUUUCGGCUCCCCCAUCCUGACGCGUGUCAGCACGAUGUAUCGAUUUACUGCGAUUGCGGUGGAUCCACAAAUCAAGACUCCCGGCGGCAAGACCUACGACGUUAUCUUCGUUGGUACAGAUCAUGGGAAAAUCCUCAAAACGGUUAACGCCGAAUCGGCCGACUCGAACAAGAAGGUAACGUCGGUGGUGAUCGAGGAAAUCGAUGCACUUCAAACGAACGAACCGAUCCGGACGCUGGAAAUCGUUCGCACAACGCAGUACGACACACCGAAGGACGGCAGUUAUGAUGAUGGGAAAUUAAUUAUAGUCACCGAUACGACCGUGCUGGCGAUCAAAUUGCACCGCUGCAGUAGUGAGAAGAUAACAAGCUGCAGUGAGUGUGUAGCGCUGCAGGAUCCGUACUGUGCGUGGGACAAGAUUGUGGGCAAGUGCCGGUCGCACGGUGCCCCCCGGUGGUCGGAAGAGAACGUGUUCUACCAGAGCGUCGCCACCGGCGAUCAUGCGGCCUGCCCGUCGGGCAAGAUGGCAAAGGACGCGAACGUGGUCGAGCGGCAAGGAUACCGAGACCUCGAGUACGAUCCGCAACGUCCGUUCCGAGAUCAGCCGGCCGAUAAGAUUCAGUUCAACUCGGAAAACUACAACGACAAGGGUCCGCAGAUUACGCCCGACCUGAUAAACGCCCAGUACACGGUCGAGACGCUCGUGAUGGCCGUCCUGGCGGGGGCCAUCUUUGCCCUGCUGGUCGGUUUCAUUACCGGCUACUUCUGUGGCCGCCGGUGCCACAAGGACGAGGACGACAAUCUGCCCUAUCCGGACACUGAGUACGAAUACUUCGAACAGCGCCAGAAUGUUAACCGGAUACAAGCCGAACCGAAGCUACUUCCACAGGUCGAAGAGGUGACAUACGCCGAGCCUGUACUAUUACCUCAGCCGUCUAGUCAGAAUAAGAUGCAACAUUCGCCAAAAAAUACGCUAAGAAAACCGAUGGGCCAUCACCAUGGCGUCAACUCGGAAACGUUGUUCCAGUUCCAGCCGGACAACUACAACAAUGCACGCGACAAUUACCGAGGCCGUGACAACUUCGGUACACUGCGAUCGCACCAGGGUGAUAAUUAUCGUCGCGGUGACGGAUUUUCAACGACCAGAAGUGUCAAAAAAGUAUAUCUUUGAGACGGAAACGGGGCGGCUGAGACCAGCCAGGGACUGAUCAAUCAAAAUAUGCAUUUCUACAUAGGUCCUUAACUCAAACACUCGUAAUAGAAGUCUCGGCCGUAUGAAAAGGCAGCCGCCCCGGCAUGGUAUGGUAACACAACAUCGUUCCGACAGUCCACACCAUUCCAGCUCCGGAUCUUCCCCCG